rnacentral:misc_RNA from 1 species
UUUUUUUUUUUUUUUUUUUAUUUAGGCACCAAUUGUGAUUACCCUUUUUGCACAUUUAAUGAAAUGAUCUUCUUUCUAAACUUAUACCAAAAGCACAUUUUCAGCAGCAUUUGAGACAAGUUCCAAACAUUCAAGAAUUGCAGAAAGGACAUAGAAAUUCACCUUUUUAGCAGCAUGAAUAGUAGCAUGAACAGUAGCAAAAAUCUGCAGACUGUAAAAACUAACAGCAAUUCAAACAAAAAUAUGUAAAUUCCUAACAGACUACAAAAGUAUAUAUACACUAAAAGGUAAAACUUAACAAACACUAUUUUUGCACUUCAAUAAAGCUCACAUCAAUCCUAAAUAUCAAAUUUGAUCCUCAUUCAAGUUGCAUUUUCACAGAAUUUACACAAGACACAAAAUUAAACAUGUGCUAUCAAGUAGAUUGCAAUAUCAGCAAUUUAGCACAAGUUUAAAGGUGUUACUGUUCACAGGUACUGCAUAAAGUGCAGUAUUUUCCUUUAUACUUGCUCUCUUACAAUUCUUUGUUUUUGCUACAAGUGUUAAUUUGCCGCAUCUUCAUAAAUGACCUACAAAAGAUAAACAGAUGUCACUUUUGAGUUUAAUGAGGGUGAAAACUGAAAAUGAAAUGAAAUGGAAAAUUAAUAAACUAUAAAAGGAUACGCUUGGGUUGCCUCCCAAGAAGCGCUUGUUUAAAGUCUUAAGCUUGACCUUCGACUCCAAAUCAUCUAAGUAUCCCUGAUUGGAGAACCAAGCCAUGAAACCUCUACAACCUUUUGUGUGGGUUCUCCAAUAAUAUAAUGCUUUAAUCUCUGCCCAUUAACUUUGAAAGUUCCUGAGGUUUCAUUGCCUAUCUCAACAGCUCCAUAGGGAUAUACUUUUAUAACAGUGUAGGGCCCUGACCAUCUUGACUUUAAUUUUCCGGGAAAUAACCUUAAUCUAGAGUUAUAUAGAAGAACAACAUCCCCUUCCUGAAAUUCUUUCCUCCUAAUAUGCUUAUCAUGCCAUCUCUUAGUUCUUUUCUUGUAAAGCUUGGCAUUUUCAUAAGCAUCCAAUCUAAGCUCCUCAAGGUCAUUUAGUUGCAACAUUCUUUUUUCUCCUGCAGUUUUCAAGUCAAAAUUCAGUGUCCUUAUAACCCAAUAUGCUCUAUGCUCUAACUCCAGAGGUAAAUGACAAGCUUUCCCAUAAACCAAUCUAAAUGGGGUGGUGCCAAUAGGAGUUUUAAAAGCUGUUCUAUAGGCCCAAAGAGCAUCAUCUAACUUUAGUGACCAAUCUUUCCUUGAACUAUUCACUGUUUUUUCAAGAAUUCUUUUCAGCUUUCUAUUUGAGAUAUCCACUUGACCACUAGUUUGUGGAUGGUAGGGUGUUGCAACCUUAUGCUUCACUCCAUAUUUUUGUAAUAAUCUUUCAAAUUGAUGGUUGCAAAAAUGAGAACCUCCAUCACUUAUAAUGGCACGUGGAGUUCCAAAUCUUGUGAAAAUGAACUUUUUAAGGAAUUUAAUCUCAACUCUAACAUCAUUAGUUGGAGAUGGUAUAGCUUCAACCCAUUUACUCACAUAAUCUACUCCAACUAAAAUGUAUUUGUGUCCAAAGGAUGGUGGAAAAGGUCCCAUGAAAUCAAUGCCCCACACAUCAAAUAGUUCAACUUCCAAUAUAUUUUGGAGGGGCAUUUCAUCCCUCUUCGAGAUAUUACCCAUCCUUUGACACCUAUCACAUGCAUUUACAACAGUGUUAUCAAAGGCGAGCGAGGUGCCCAGGCGAGGCGCCCCUCUAUCGCCU